GGUAGUCCACGCCGUAAACGAUGUCGACUUGGAGGUUGUGCCCUUGAGGCGUGGCUUCCGGAGCUAACGCGUUAAGUCGACCGCCUGGGGAGUACGGCCGCAAGGUUAAAACUCAAAUGAAUUGACGGGGGCCCGCACAAGCGGUGGAGCAUGUGGUUUAAUUCGAUGCAACGCGAAGAACCUUACCUGGUCUUGACAUCCACGGAAGUUUUCAGAGAUGAGAAUGUGCCUUCGGGAACCGUGAGACAGGUGCUGCAUGGCUGUCGUCAGCUCGUGUUGUGAAAUGUUGGGUUAAGUCCCGCAACGAGCGCAACCCUUAUCCUUUGUUGCCAGCGGUCCGGCCGGGAACUCAAAGGAGACUGCCAGUGAUAAACUGGAGGAAGGUGGGGAUGACGUCAAGUCAUCAUGGCCCUUACGACCAGGGCUACACACGUGCUACAAUGGCGCAUACAAAGAGAAGCGACCUCGCGAGAGCAAGCGGACCUCAUAAAGUGCGUCGUAGUCCGGAUUGGAGUCUGCAACUCGACUCCAUGAAGUCGGAAUCGCUAGUAAUCGUGGAUCAGAAUGCCACGGUGAAUACGUUCCCGGGCCUUGUACACACCGCCCGUCACACCAUGGGAGUGGGUUGCAAGAGAAGUAGGUAGCUUAACCUUCGGGAGGGCGCUUACCACUUUGUGAUUCAUGACUGGGGUG
rnacentral:rRNA from 1 species